rnacentral:lncRNA from 1 species
CUAAUCCUCCCCCAUUACCCUCCCUCAUCCUCCCCCGUUAACCUCCCUCGUUACCCUCCCUAAUCCUCCCCCGUAACCCCUCUAACUCCCAGGUCUUUGUGCUGUGCUGAUAUAUAUAUAUAUAGACUAAAGCUUUUCAGGGUCAUCAUCAAUGUAAAUGACAAUGAGACACGUGAUUCCUCCCAGUUCAUCAGUCAAGUCUACUAAAAAGCCAUAGAGCCUCAUUGUAAACCAGCGGCAGAAAGGAAACCUGUUAACACGCAGCGUCGUCGUGUCUCUUCAAUAGAAGACUAAUGGAUCACAGGAUAAUAUCGUCUGAAACACGAGAGAAGCUAGGAGCCCGGGGCUCCGUGGCGACUAGGCAGCUAUAGGGGGAUUGUACAUUGCUCAUAGUUUAAACUUUCUUUCUAUAAAAAUUCCUCAACUUCCUUUUGUUGAUUUCAAGCAUAAACGUUGUCCAGCUUUUCCACGGACAACAUCGUCCCUUUCCUUCCUCUCUUCUUCCUCGGUUUGGCAUGACGGUCGUAGUAAUGACUAGGAACAUUACAUACUACUACACUGGAGAGAGAGAGAGAGAGAGAGAGAGAGAGAGAGAGAGAGAGAGAGAGACGAAGAGAGAGACAGAGAGACGAAGAGAGAGAGAGAGAGAGAGAGAGAGAGACGAAGAGAGAGACAGAGAGAGACUUGGGUGCAGCGUCACGUCUCAACAGACAGAAAGACAGGCCUCCUAGUCUGCAGAGAGAGACAGACAGGCCUCCUAGUCUGCAGAGAGAGACAGACAGGCCUCCUAGUCUGCAGAGAGAGACAGACAGGCCUCCUAGUCUGCAGAGAGAGAGACAGACAGGCCUCCUAGUCUGCAGAGAGAGAGACAGACAGGCCUCCUAGUCUGCAGAGAGAGACAGACAGGCCUCCUAGUCUGCAGAGAGAGACAGACAAGCCUCCUAGUCUGCAGAGAGACAGACAGGCCUCCUAGUCUGCAGAGAGAGAGACAGGACGCAGACUAGGAGGCUGUCUUCUCUCCUCUCCUUCCAUCUUUAAAUAAUCCAAGUGCAAAUCCAAAAAGCUCCUCAGUUCAGCGUCUCAAUAAAGUUAUUAUUAACACCUCAGUUCAGCGUCUCAAUAAAGUUAUUAUUAACACCACAGUUCAGUGUCUCAAUAAAGUUAUUAUUCACACACACAAAAAUAAACCUGGUUUCCAAUGUUUCAUGCAACAGUUUGUUAAAACAAAAAAGUGAGAUAAGCCAAAAAAAUAUAUAUAUAUCUGGAAUUAAGUAAACAAAUAUUAUUAUUGUUGUUGUUGAUUGAAUGAUAUUUGGUAGAGCGGUUGUUUAACACGGUUGAAUACUGGCACAGCACUGGCAGAAUAAUACUCAAGGGGGUUUGUAUUGUACGCUAAUGCUUUUAAGUUAUUCAGUACAGUCAAGGAACGCGACGUCAAAACAACACAACUAGCAACUUCUACCAGUCAAAUAAAACUACUGGGAGAGAAACAACAGUUUUUAUUAUUAUUUUGUUCGUUUUUUUUUUUUAAAGACACUAAAUAAAAAUCGAAGUAAAUAAAUGAAGGUCCAUGGCUUUGCCUAAUGCUGUUUUGAAGCUUUCACACAUUGUGCAUCAUCAUAACUCAACAAUCAACAUUGUAAAUAGUGGCUAAAUCUAUGUUUAUU